UACAGAGGUCCCGAGCGUUGUUCGGAUUCAUUGGGCGUAAAGCGCGCGUAGGCGGCCUGGUAAGUCGGAUGUGAAAACCCGGGGCUCAACCCCGGGCCUGCAUCCAAAACUGCCCGGCUAGAGGUAGGUAGGGGAGAUCGGAAUUCCUGGUGUAGCGGUGAAAUGCGCAGAUAUCAGGAGGAACACCGGUGGCGAAGGCGGAUCUCUGGGCCUUACCUGACGCUCAGGCGCGAAAGCUAGGGGAGCGAACAGG
rnacentral:rRNA from 1 species